AUUUAAUGGAUACGUACCAGAUUCAGACGACUCCUUGCCUACAUUGUCAUCAUUAUAUGAACCUGAAUCAUUAAUAAUAUUUUCUGUCCCCUUCUGCAGGUUCAGCUUUCUAGAUUCCACAUCCUCAUAAUAUGACUUUGCUUGAUCCACCAGAGCACUAGCCUCAUGCUUUGAUGCCUUAACUAUUUCUGCCAUUGCCUGAAGAGUGGAGGAAG
rnacentral:lncRNA from 1 species